CCCCUAGUAACUGCGAGUGAAGCGGGAAAAGCUCAAAUUUAAAAUCUGGCGGCUUUGGUCGUCCGAGUUGUAUUCUAGAGAAGUGUUUUCCGCGUUGGACCGUGUAUAAGUCUCUUGGAACAGAGCGUCAUAGAGGGUGAGAAUCCCGUCUUUGACACGGACUACCAAUGCUUUGUGAUACACUCUCAAAGAGUCGAGUUGUUUGGGAAUGCAGCUCAAAAUGGGUGGUAAAUUCCAUCUAAAGCUAAAUAUUGGCGAGAGACCGAUAGCGAACAAGUACCGUGAGGGAAAGAUGAAAAGCACUUUGGAAAGAGAGUUAAACAGUACGUGAAAUUGCUGAAAGGGAAACGCUUGAAGUCAGUCGCGUUAUCUAGAACUCAACCAGGCUUGCUUGGCGUAUUUUCUAGUUAACGGGCCAGCAUCAGUUUUGACCGCAGGAAAAAGGCCAGGGAAAUGUGGCACCCUCGGGUGUGUUAUAGUCUCUGGUCAUAUACUGUGAUUGGGACUGAGGACCGCAGCACGCGCAAGCUGUGCUUAGGAUGCUGGCGUAAUGGCUUUAAACGACCCGUCUUGAAACACGGACCAAGGAGUCUAACAAACCUGCGAGUAUUUGGGUGGUAAACCCGAGUGCGUAAUGAAAGUGAAAGUUGGGAUCUCUGUCGUGGAGAGCACCGACGCCCGGACCAGACCUUCUGUGACGGAUCUGCGGUAGAGCAUGUUUGUUGGGACCCGAAAGAUGGUGAACUAUGCCUGAAUAGGGUGAAGCCAGAGGAAACUCUGGUGGAGGCUCGUAGCGAUUCUGACGUGCAAAUCGAUCGUCAAAUUUGGGUAUAGGGGCGAAAG
rnacentral:rRNA from 1 species